rnacentral:lncRNA from 1 species
UUUUUUUUUUUUUUUUUUAGUAAGUGAUGUUUUUAGGGAUGAGAAAGGCCAUUUUUACAAAUAUCCCUCCAUGGAUAUCCCUCUUUUCUAUCUGUAAGUAGCAUAUUAUUCAGUUCUUGUUUUGUUUUGUACGUGUGCUUUUCAGAAAAGGCCAUAAUUUGCUCUAUAGAGUCUUGAUUUCUAUCCUUUUGGGGACGUUGUUCAAGGUCGUCAUGGCCCAUAUCCAUCAAUUAUGUCUGCCUCACAGAUUUCCUUUGUCAGUAGUACAUAUCAGUAUGAUUAAUGGUUCAGGGUUCAUAUUCAGGAAACUGGUUAACUGUCAUUUCAUUUGUUGUCACUGAUAAUUCAGAAAACAUUGAUGAAGUUGUCCAAGAAAAGAGGGCAAUGCAAGCCAGUUUUACUCAUAAUGAACAACAAAGUUUGGUCUUUUGUUAACAAAAAUAGGCUGCGCACUCCCAUAUACUUCCUGGGCCUCAGCAGGAGAUUAGGGAGAGGUGUUAACUCUGUGAUUAUCCUGCAGCAUUAAGUGGUAGCUCUGUAAUGUGAAAGAGUGAACACCACACUAUGUUGAAGGCUUCAUCCCUGGGAGAAUAAGGGUCCAUGAGCUCUUCAGUAAAAUCUAACUGUUGUUCUGUAUCUAACAGAAAGUAGUAAUUGUUUACUUACUUUAAAUAUGUCUUUACUUAUUAAUUAUAAAUUACUGGAUUAUUUACUUAUUUAAAGAGAUGUACUGCUUUUAUAAGAAUGAUAGAUGUUCACCAUUAAAGAUAAACACAUUCCAUACUCUCAAAAAUCCUCUGAAAUCCUGUCCAAGGAUGACUUUUGCUCUUAAAAGAGAUCUUAGAGGAAUAUAAGAGACUCUAGAGGGUUGAAAUAGAUUCAAGAUUUUCUGGAAAUUUGAUAAGUGAUACAGAAUGCAUUUUAAGUCUGUGGAGUUUCCCUCCCUCCAAGGAAAGUAUGUAUAGCAAUCUAUCUUUGUGAGGAUAAACAGUUUGUUCUCUUUUUCACUCCUUACACUUAUGUAAAUUUCCUUUUUUAAUUUAUUUUAUUUUUUUUUCCUUUUUUUAAAAUUAAGUUUUAAAAUUUUAAUUCCAAUAUAGUUAGCAUACAGUGUUACAUUAGUUCAGGUGUACAAUAUAGUAAGUCAGCAGUUCUAUACAUUACUCAGGGCUCAUCAUGAUCAGUGUACUCUUUAAUCCUCAUCAGUUUGUUCUCUAUACUUAAAAGUCUGUUUCUUAGUUUAUGUCUCUCUUUCUCUUUUUUCUUUUUCUUUGUUCCUUUGUUUUGUUUCUUAAAUUCCACAAAGGAUUGAAAUCAUUUGAUAUUUGUCUUUCUCUGACUUAUUUCACUAGCAUUAUACUCUCUAGCCCCAUCCAUGUUGUUGCAAGUGGCAAGAUUUCAUUCUUUUUUAUGGCAAUAAUAUUCCAUUAUAUAAUUGAAUAAAUAUAUAAAAUCACUUCUUUAUCCAUUCAUUAAUCAAUGGACACUUGGGUUGCUGUCAUAUCUCGACUAUUGUAAACAAUACUUCAAUAAACAUAGUAGUACAUAUAUCUCUUUAACUUUUUGAGGAAUCUCCAUACCGUAUUCCACAAUGAGUACAGCAGUUUGCAUUCCCACCAAGGGUGCUCUAGGGUUCCUUUUUCUCUACAUCCAGUCAACACUUGUUUUUUAUGUUUUUUUUUUAUUUUAUUUUAGCUGUUCUGACAGGUGUGAGGAAUAUUUUUUGUAGUUUUGAUUUGCAUUUCCCUCAUGAUGGGGGAUGUUGAACAUCUUUUAAUGUGUUGGUUAUAUGUGUUUUCUUUGGAGAAAUAUCUGUUCAUAUCUUCUCAUUUGUUAAGUGAAUUUUUUUGGUGUGCAGUUGUAUAAAUUUUUUAUAUAUUUUGUAUACUAACCCCUCUUAUUGGUUGUCUUUUAAUCUUGUUGGUUGUUUUUAACCAGUUUUGCUGUUCAGAAGCGUUUUAUUUUAAUAUAAUCCCAAGUUUUUUUAAAUAAUAAAUUUAUUUUUUAUUGGUGUUCAAUUUACCAACAUACAGAAUAACACCCAGUGCUCAUCCCAUCAAGUGCAAGUUUGUUUUCGCUUUUAUUUUCCUUGCCUCAGGAGGCAUAUCUAGAAAAAUGUUUCUGAAGCUGAUGUUAGAGAAAUUACUGGCUGUGUUAUGUUUUAGGAUAUUUAUAGUUUCAGGUCCCACACUUAGGUUCUUAAUGCAUUUUGAGUUUAUUUUAAAUGGUAUAAGAAAAUGGUCCAGUUUCAUUCUUUUGUAUGUUGUCUGGUUUUCCCAACACCAUUUAUUGAAGAAACUGCCUUUUUCACAUUGCAUAGUCUUGCCUCCUUUGCCAAAGAUUAAUUGACCAUAUACUUAUGGAUUGAUUUCUGGGUGUUCUAUUCUGUUCCAUUGAUCUAUGUGUCUGUUUUUAUGUCAGUAUCAUACUGUUUUGGUCUAUGCUUUGUAAUAUAACUCAAGGUUCAGAACUGUGAUGCCUCCAUUUUUGUUUUUCCUUUUGAAGAUUGCUUUGGCUAUUUGGGGUCUUGUCUGGUUCCAUAUAAGUUUUAGAAUAAUUUGUUUAAUUCUUUGAAAAAUGCUGUUGGUAUUUUGAUGGGGAUUGCAUAAAUGUGUAGAUUGCUUUGGGUAUACGGACAUUUUAAUUCCGUAUUUUAUUGGUAUUGGUAUUUUAUUGGUAUUUUAUUGGUUUUGGUGCAGUUGUAAAUGGGAUAGUUUCCUUAAUUUCUCUUUUGCUGCAUAAUUAUUAGCAUAUAAAAAUGCAAUAGAUUUCUGUACAUUGAUUUUGUAUCCUGCAACUUUACUGAAUUUAUUUAUCAGUUCUAGUAUUUUUUUGUGUGGAAUCUUUAGGGUUAUAUAUAGUAUCAUGUCAUAUGCAGAAGCCCCUUUUAACAGGGACUGUUAAAGGCUGGUUUGGUGGUCAUGAAGUUCUUUAGUUUUUGUCUGAGAAAUUCCUUAUUCUUCCUCCUAUUCUGACUGCUAGCCUUUCUGGAUAAAGUAUUCUUGACUGUACAUUUUUCCCAUUCAGCACUUUGCAUAUAUGUCAUUCCCUUCUGACCUUAAAAGUUUUAAUUAUUGUCUUUUCUCUUUCUGCUUUAUUUUCUUUGUCUUUAUUACUUCUUUUUGCCAUUUUAAGUAUUGUCUGUCUUUGUGUGGACCUCCUUGGGUUGAUUUUAUUGGGGGAUAUCUGUGCCUCCUGGAUCUGGGUUUUUGUUUCUUUCCCAAGAUUCAGGAAGUUUCAGUUAUUAUUCCUUCAAAUAAAUUUUCUGCUCCCUUUUCUUUCUCUUCUUAGGGAUCCCUAUAUUGCAAAUGUUAUUAUCCUUGAUGCAGUCACUAAAUUCUCAUUUUGUAUAUUUGUUUUCUUUUACCUCCUCAGCUUGUUUGCUUUCCAUUACUGUCUUCCAAGUCAUUAAUUUUUUCUUCUCUUUCCUCUAACUUAUUUAUUCCAUCUAGUGUAUUUUUAAUUUCAUUUAUUGUAUUUUUCAUCUGUGAUUGGUUCUUUUUUUAUAACUUUGUUAAGGGUCUCAUUGAUGCCUCCACUCAUUUCUCAAGUCCAGUGUCUGUCUUUUGAUCAUUAAAUUCUCUAUCAGGCAUAUUACUUAUAUUUGUAUUGCUUAGGUCUCUUCCUGUGGUUUUGUCCUCUUCUUUCAUUUGGAACGUAUUCCUCUGUCUCCUUAUUUUGUCUAACCUUCCAUGUCUAUUUUUAUGUGUUAGGAAAGUCAGCCACAUCUCCUGCUCUUGAAAGUAGUGGGUGGAGCACACACUUUUAACAAGGUGGUGCUGGUUCUCUUCUAUAGGGUACAUGAAGUUGCUGUGAAGACCAGAGCUGGCCAGUGCUGCUCUGCAAAGGCCACGUGGACAGGGAGGCAAUUUUAACCAGGUAUAUGUGGAGGUCACCUGUUGCUUGGAAUAAGGCCCCCAAAACACACAGGACUCUCUGUUUUGGCAGGUAUUUUUCAAACUACUACUUCUUUGCUGUAUUUACAUGGGAUAUUUGUUGUGCUGUUCUUUAAGGGCAGGAACUCGGUUUCUUAUAAUACAUUGGACUUACCCAGAGUUAAGCCUGCUAAUUUUUAAAAUUCCAGGCUUUACAUAUUGCUGAUUGUAAGAACUCAUGAAAUUCAGCCCCUUUCACUUUCAAAGGCAAAUGUCUUGGGGAUUCUUCUUCCCCAUGGAGGCUCCCUGGUGUAACUGUUUCUCAUCCUUCUCCAUGCCCUUGGUCCCCUCUCAACUGCAGACAGCCAAGGGGCUUUUGGCUCCCCACAUCAUAUUCACCCUUCCUAUCCAAUUACA